UACGGGAGGCAGCAGUGGGGAAUAUUGCACAAUGGGCGAAAGCCUGAUGCAGCUAUGCCGCGUGUAUGAAGAAGGCCUUAGGGUUGUAAAGUACUUUCAUCGGGGAGGAAAAACAAAACUAAUAAUUUUAUUUCUUGACGUUACCCGAAAAAGAAGCACCGGCUAACUCCGUGCCAGCAGCCGCGGUAAUACGGAGGGUGCUAGCGUUAAUCAGAAUUACUGGGCGUAAAGAGCACGUAGGUGGUUUUUUUAAGUCAGAUGUGAAAUCCCUGGGCUUAACCUGGAACUGCAUUUUGAAACUGAAAUACUAGAGUAUCGUAGAGGGAGGUAGAAUUCUAGGUGUAGCGGUGAAAUGCGUAGAUAUCCGGAGGAAUACCUGUGGCGAAAGCGGCCGUCCUAAACGAAUACUGACACUGAGGUGCGAAAGCGUGGGGAGGCAAACAGGGAUUAGAUA
rnacentral:rRNA from 1 species